AGCUAACAAAAGCUCCAAGGUCUUUGGGCAGAGCCGUGGCAAAGCAAGGCUACUGGUGAGUAACUCGGAGAAGUGUGCUCAACUUCAGCCCUCCCUAUUCUUCCUCCCUCCAAAGCCUUGCUUCAAAAAUAGCUAAUACAACCUUCCAUGUUGAACAUUUUAAUUAGAAAGCUACAGAACAUAAUGGAUUCUUUAUACAAGUUUUGCAUUCAAAUAAUUUAAUAAAAUGCAAACCAAAGUUUAUACGUAUCUUUAGCCAUCUUCCCAUGUUUCAUUAAAUUCUGGGGAUUUAAACCACAAGCAAUUUUUCAUUUCAGUCUCAAGAGACGGGGCACACUGGCCCAUGCCUAUAUUCCUGGCACUUUGUGGGGCUGAGACAGGAGGAUUUCCUGAGGUUGGGAGUUCAAGACCAGCCUGGGCAACAUAGUGAAAACCCCAUCUAUAAAAAUAAAUAAAUCUCAAGAAAAAAAUUUAGGCAUCUAAAAUAGCCAGAAUAUUAAAAAAAGACAAGGGGGACAGUGUUAGAGAAUUCCUCUGCUUGAAUACUUCAAAAUAGCUUUGUUUCCAAAACUGUUUUUAGUCAGCCUAAAGGAAACGGAUGCUGGAGAUGAAAAAUGAUCUCCAAGGUAAACUGAGGCACACACUGAGGGGUGUGUUUCUGGGUGGGCAUGAAGCAUGGAUCACCGGAGCCAUGUCCUUCCAGGGGCAACGACCUGCUUGGGAUCAGGAAGCAGCUCCAUGUGUUCUUGGAGGAGACUGCACGCAUCCUCAGGAGUGCUGCUGAGGGGGCUGAGAAUGAAACAGCCCCUCUGACUUCAGCCUGCCAUCCAGGGGCACAGACAGAGGGAAAAACCGGGCAAAGAGCCAGCCACAGUCGGGCAGGGAUCCAGGGCUGCUCAGCUGAGCUGAUGACAGAUGACUGACUGUUGGGCUGGGGCAGGUG
rnacentral:lncRNA from 10 species